AUUGAACGCUGGCGGCAGGCCUAACACAUGCAAGUCGAACGAGUGGCGGACGGGUGAGUAAUGUCUGGGAAACUGCCUGAUGGAGGGGGAUAACUACUGGAAACGGUAGCUAAUACCGCAUACCAUCGGAUGUGCCCAGGUGGGAUUGGCUAGUAGGUGGGGUAAAGGCUCACCUAUGCGACGACCCCUAGCUGGUCUGAGAGGAUGACCAGCCACACGGGAACUGAGACACGGUCAUGCCGCCUAGGGGAGGCAGGAGUGGGGAAUAUGGCACAAUGGGCGCAAGCCUGAUGCAGCCAUGCAGCGUGUGUGAAGAAGGCCUGCGGGUUGUAAAGCACUUACAGCGAGUAGGCGUUACUCGGAGAAGAAGCACCGGCUAACUCCGUGCCAGCAGCCGCGGUAAUAC
rnacentral:rRNA from 1 species